rnacentral:rRNA from 1 species
AUUGAACGCUGGCGGCAGGCUUAACACAUGCAAGUCGAGCGGGGUGAUGGUGCUUGCACUAUCACUUAGCGGCGGACGGGUGAGUAAUGCUUAGGAAUCUGCCUAUUAGUGGGGGACAACAUCUCGAAAGGGAUGCUAAUACCGCAUACGUCCUACGGGAGAAAGCAGGGGAUCACUUGUGAACUUGCGCUAAUAGAUGAGCCUAAGUCGGAUUAGCUAGUUGGUGGGGUAAAGGCCUCCCAAGGCGACGAUCUGUAGCGGGUCUGAGAGGAUGAUCCGCCACACUGGGACUGAGACACGGCCCAGACUCCUACGGGAGGCAGCAGUGGGGAAUAUUGGACAAUGGGGGGAACCCUGAUCCAGCCAUGCCGCGUGUGUGAAGAAGGCCUUAUGGUUGUAAAGCACUUUAAGCGAGGAGGAGGCUCUUUUGGUUAAUACCCAGAAUGAGUGGACGUUACUCGCAGAAUAAGCACCGGCUAACUCUGUGCCAGCAGCCGCCGUAACAC